GCCCGGAUAGCUCAGUCGGUAGAGCAGAGGAUUGAAAAUCCUCGUGUCGGUGGUUCGAUUCCGCCUCC
rnacentral:tRNA from 1 species